rnacentral:tRNA from 1 species
GAGGGCAGAGCUCAGUGGUAGAGUGCCUGCUUAGCAGGCACGAGGGCCCGGGUUCAAUCCCCAGUCCCUCU